AACUCCUGGCCUCGAGAGAUCCUCCCAUCUCAGCCUCCCAGGAGCUGAACACUGCCCCAAGAAUGCAACAGAACCUCAACUCUGUCCCCAGGUCAUCAGCCACAGCUCCAAGUUUCUUCGCAUCAGCUUUUUCUGAACAAAAUAGUGCAUCCUGCUGGAAUCACUACUGUAAACUGAGUAUAAAGGAAAAUAAACCCUCUUUUUCUUA